UCUUUCUGACGCUACCCACCCUCACUCUAGUGGCGUAAAAUAAGUCUCAGUCAGGGACCACGUUUUGGACGCGCUGUUGGAAUUGUAAAGCUUGCCGAAGCUGCACGCCUGCGCGGUUAGACCUCCCACGCCUUUGUUGACGCUUCCAGUUUGGAAGCCAGAUUUACACCCCUGCCUUUCUCCGCUCCUCCUGCUGGGCGCCAUCUUGUCUUCUCCUAGCACACUUUGUAUUGUUCGAAGUUGAGAGAGAAGGAGCCGGAGUCUCCGAGGUGGCGUUGGGUGGGGGCGCUACUAGCUCCCGUUCUCUCAGCGUCUCUAGAGGGAAGGGCGCCGGUGGGAGCAGGAGAGUCUGCACCGGGCAGGCCUCCUUAGGUGCCGGGUUGCGCGCAGGGCCCUGUGCUUGUCUCGCCUCCGGUUGGCUCAGGCCUCGGAGCAUGAGUGCGCCGGCAACUGCUGGGCCCGGGACAGUGAAGCAGAGGAGGAGGUGGGGGAGGCGAGCCCAGGUCGGGGAAGGGCAGCACCUGAAUCACCCUUGGGGCCCAGACCCCCAAGAGUCUCCGGGGAGCCGAGGCCUGGCGAGGCAGUCCCGGGAUUCGCCCCCUCCCCGCUGGCCCGAGGGCGCACCACGUGCUGGGCAGAGACUUCGGCGAGGCCGAGUGGACCCUGCAGCGCUGCUUGGGAAAGGGCACCUUGGACUACCUGGUGGGGGCGUUGUGCUUCGUUACCGACCGCCGGGACGCCAACCCACGGUGCCCACCCGUGCGUCAUUCCGCUGUGGAUCAGCCCUUUGGCGGCCCCCCUCCAAAGUCUACAAGGUCACACGGAUGUCUGCAGGCAGAGCAGCUGCUUCCGGCUCCCUGAGACCCAGCCAUGGAAGGCAUAGAAAGGCAUGUGACAAGAAACUCAUGGCUUUUAAUCCUGGCAGGACAAGGAAAACCCCGUCAAAGAUUUGCAUAAAUUUUGCUGCUCUCCUGCUGGGGGGGGGGGGGGGGCAGUUCGUCACAUUUAAUAAAAUUCUCUCCCUCCCUUCUCCCGA
ensembl:lncRNA MPDU1-AS1 MPDU1 antisense RNA 1